UUAAGCACUUGUUGAAUAGUAACUUGUUGAGUAGUGUGUGUGUCUCUGUGUUUUCUCUUCCAUUUUUUCUCAAGAUGGGGACCCUGCUUCAUUCAUCCUUGAUAUGGUUUGGCUAUGUCCCCACCCAAAUCUCAUCUUGAAUUCCCAUGUGUUGUGGGAGGGACCUGGUGGGAGGUAAUUGAAUCAUGGGGAUAGGUCUUUCCCAUGCUAUUCUUGUGAUAGUAAGUCUCAUGAGAUCUGAUGUUUAUUUUAAGGGGCAGUUUUCCUGCACAAUCCCUCUUCUUCUCUCAUCUGCUAAGAUGUGGGACAUCCCUUUCACCUUCUGCCAUGAUUGUGAGGUCUCCCCAACUACGUGGAACAGUUAUACAAGCUUGGCACAAACAUCUAUUUGGUUUCUGGAGAGACCUCAAGAAGCUGACAAUCAAGGCAGAAGGCAAAGAGGAGCCAGUGCAUCACAUGCCUCAAUGAGAAUUACUACUUCUUGCAUUAUCAUUUGUAUCCGCAAGUUUCUGUUGGAACAAACGUCCGGUGCCUUCCAGAAUCACGGAGAAUGGGCCGGCUGA
rnacentral:lncRNA from 13 species